UCCUCACCUGUUCCACUGUGAUUGUGGUUUGCUGUUGGCGUCUUCCUCAAGAAUUCCUCCAAAAAUCUUUGAACCUAUUGAUUUGAUUGCUGGAAUCACUGGCAUUGUUUACCUGGACCGUCACCGGGAUUCUGUCAGUGCUGAUUGUGGCUAAGUACGCCCCACUCUCUUCAAAAAGGUCGUUAUUUAUUUUUUUUUUUUCCACCUGUCGGAUCAGAUCCUCAUCUGGAUCGAAAGAUGGCGAGCUAGGAAUGGACUAUGGACUUUAUGAUUUGGAAAUCAAUUUAUUGAGUCAAUUCUCAUGUGUCUCAUUGUGUUGUUGUAAUUGUCUGUUUUAUUCAAAUCACUUAAUAUAUAUUCACCAAAACUAAAAGCACUGCCUCCUGUUUUUUUUUUCACACCUCAGGCUCCUUAAAAGGCCACUCUUCUGAUGCUGCUUAUGUAGCCGCAGUUAACUGCCUAGCCCAUAACUGUUACACUUAAUAUUUAAGUUACAUUGAAACUGGACACAGUCCUCUGUACAUACAAACAAACUUGCUUGAUUUGUUUUUGCCUUCUUUUCUUGUUUCAGAAAGCCUCAGUUCUGUUGGCUAUCUUGUGGUUUUGCACUCUUAGAUGUUUGUGAUUUUGAUAGUUUACAAAGCAUACGAAAUCACACACAACACAGAAAAUACUUAAGGCAGUAUUUGGGUUUACAGUUGUCAGUUGCUGUGCAAAGUUCUGCACUUUGUCUGACUGGAAAUAAAAAUAAUAAAAUACUAUAACAUUUUUAAAAAUGUGAAUAUUCACAGGCGGUUGUUAACUUUGUCUGAACAGGCGAUGUUCAGAUUGUGAAAAAUGUUUAGCAACAACACUGAGAAAAAGAACCUUGUAAAAUUUGCUUGCAAAAAUAAAAACAAAAAGACUGGAGCCAAGUCAAUUUAUGCCUCUCAUACGAACAACAAAAUCUCCCACUAGAUUACUGACAAAAAAGAUUCUGAGAAAUGCCUAGUUAAUGCAGGCGUCUCAAGUCUUUUCUGUCUACACCCUCAUGGCUGGGAGGUUGGGCCUGCCCUUUCACUGCACAUAUCCCUGAGGAGGCAUUGCUACACUGGCUUGGCUGACAGGAUACAGAGAAAGCAGCAGAUCUACUGUGAACCUUCUUCGCUAGGUUCUGAACUGAGGUAUGAUCAGUUCUGCUUGCAGAAUAGUUAAGAACAUGUAUUAGCAGGGAUAUCAUAAGUCUAUCUCCCUAAAACGGAAACACAAUUCAGAUACAUCAGAUAUGAUAUCAUUUUGGGACAAAUCACUUUUACUUUAAUACAAUAAUUUUGUCACACCAUUUUACACGUCACAUAUUCAUUAUAGUGUGCAGCCCACGCUGAACAAUGUGGGAUGCUGCUUUGGGUAAAUGUACCAUCUAAAUAUGCUAUGGAAAUUUGUAGUGUAUGAAAUCAUCUGUUAAAGUUCAGUCCUUGAACUGAAAGUAGUUGAAUUACCUCCUCGACAUGGAGUCCUGCCAAUUUAAUCCUAAUUAUUUGAAUCUGCUUGGUUGAAGCUGAGCCACAUCUGAAAUUUGCAAGACGCUGACCAUCAAAGCUUGACAUUUAUUAUCUAACAUUUAUUUUCUGUAGGUGCCUCAUGCAGAAUCUAAGACCUAAUUGAACAUGUAAAAGUGUAUAUUUGUGAGAAUCUGAAAGACUACAAAAUGAGUUUAGAAAGGCAUGUUGAAAAGUUUCAGUGACAUAAUUGUUUUUUUAAAGAGUAUUUUUAAGAUUAGCAUUGAUUAAAAAUGUUUUGUUCUGGUGAACUGGUAUACCGAAACAAAUCAUUGUUGAAAAUAAAGACGUACACACACACACAGAUGAUUAAAAAAGUGUCAAGAUAAGUAUUAUCACGUGCUUUAAUGUAUUCUCAAAUUGUUCUGCUUGAUUUGAGUUUGAUUCAUUUCCAGCAGAUUUUCAUAGCAGGUGCAAAUGAUGUUUAAAAUUCACCCCAUUUUACAGAUGAUUACCUUACAGAAUGCAAGACAUACUAGUUUUAUUCAGAUUAGUGUGCAGGGGUGUGUGUGUGCGUGCACCCACCCUCGUGCUCCCUGAAGUGGGUGUGGACCAAGAAACUAAUGGUGACUUAUUAACAUCAUAAUUCAGCCAGGCAGGACAACUAAUCACAGAGACCUCAGAUAGACCAGCCACAAGGCGUGAUGGAUGAAACCUCAGUCAGUGUGUGUGUUCAUGUUGAUGUGCAUGUGUAUAUCUAUGGAUGUAUGUGCUUGUAAGUAAGAGACUUUGGGCAUUAGUGAUAGAUGGCUUGUGCGGGGGUCCUUUCACACCGAGAUGUCUUCUAAUCAGUCUUAAUGAUUUGACUCUGUUGAUGAGUAGCAUGGAUAAGAAUGGGGCUGCAGGGGAGGGAGCAAAACUUUGAAACAGGAAACGCACAUGGCCGAAAUCCUGCCUGCUUCAGAAAUUGAAGGCAUUCAGGCUGAAAAACAAAUCACUACGCCUUGUGAGUGUGUCCGUCUGUGUGGGGCUCAUUAGUGUCUCAUUUCUGUGUUUUUGAAUGUAUUGGGUCUUUUGAGCUCAAAGUUGGCUGUGCUGAGGUUGUUAGUCGCAAGGUGUAUAUGAGCCCGUCUUCUCCUCUGAGUCUGUCUAUCUCUGAGCCUCCUCCCUUUGCAGUGCCACUCAUCCAUCUUUGACCCAGUCAGGGCUGUUUACACUCAUUUAGCUCCAGCUGAGGUGCAGCAGUGCGAGCUUUGUGAUAUUUAUAGACAAAGAAAGAAUGAGAGUAAACAGGAUGCAGCGGAAAAAAAAAACACACAAAAAAAAAAAAAACUGGUCCGAGAGAUCAGCCAAUUAUAGAAAGACCCAGACUGCCUACACGGCUUCUGCUCGCUUCAACUUGCGGUUAUUGUAACUAAUGUCAGCAAUGAAAUUACUCGGCUUGGAUAAUUUACUACAUGUCUGAUAGGAGUUAUUCAUAACAUGGACGUUUCCCCACCCUUCCUCUUUUUCUAGCUCUGUCCCUUAGCAAGCAGCAGGGGCCAGCGGAAGAAAGGAAGAGACAAACUGAAUUAGUGUUCUUUUCAUCAUCCGUGACCAGCGAGCCGUCUGAUAACCCUGAUCUCAUUAUGAACGCUAAUUGUUAAGUUCCCCCUCCUCUCAUCCUCUCUUCCUCAGCAUGCACACAUUAAGAACUAAAGUAGUGAGGCUCAUCUCAGUGAGAUGAAGCCUCUCGUUCACUCUCCAUCUUCUUGUUCCUAAGUAUUUACUUCCUGCCCGUUAAAAGCGUCGACUUCAGUUCCAAUAUCCAUUUCUACUAUGAUCAUUUUUAGCAGUAACAUAACAGAUUUAUGAAAGUCUGAAUGCAAUCUGGCAAAUCUUUUAGCUUUCACAUUUCAGGCUCUUUGAGGUCUGUUAUGUACAUCCUGUCUCCUUUCUGUUAAAUAAUUAGCAGCACCUUUGUGGGGUAGGGUUAGAUAUAAUUUAUGAGGAUUUUAUAUGACAGAGUGAAGCCUUUCUCUGAUGCUUUAGUGAACCAACAGCUUCAUAAAGACCAAAGAACACAGCAGAGAGACAGCAAUAAAGUUGUGUGGGCAUUCAAAUCAGGGAUUGGUUGUAAGACAUUAUUUCAAUCUACAGAAUUAAAAGUAUUUAUCCCUUGGGUGUUUUGCCAUUUUUAUUUCUUUUACAAAUCACUCAUGCCAAAAAUAAGUCUAGUUUAAAGAUUGCUGCAAGCAAGUCAGUUAGAUACAGCAUGCACAUAAAAUUUUUGCUCUUGUCAGAUGUGACCAAAAUUAAAGUUUUUGUUCUACAUGCAGAAAACUACGUGGCAGAACACAGUAAACAUUACCCAAAAGAAACCUGGAGGAAGUGUCAUGGUGGGACCCUAAACAUAUACCCAGUGGUACAAUGGAAUGGCUUACAUUGAAGCCUAUUCAUGUUUUAAAAUGGUCCAGUCAAAGUCCAGACCUGAAUUCAGCUGAGAAUCAUUUGCAGGACUGAAAUACUGCUGUUCACAGGCAGCUCUCUAUUUAAUCUGAUCUUAAGCUACUUAAACAAAACAAAUGGGCUCAAAGGUUUGUGAAAACAUCCCAUUGAACAUGAUUUUGUAGUCACAAUCCAAAUGUUUGGGUUUUCUUUUGUGUUGGUGUCAUGUCUGACAAGAAACUAAAUACAGAGUGAUUCCUCUGUAUUUAGCUUCUUAGUUUAUUCUUUUGUUCUGUUACUUAUAUACAUUACAAACUACACACUGUACAUUUGAAUUUAUUUGUCUUUCUGAGUUCACUUUUGUAAUAUUAAAUUGCCUCCCUUUGCCUGCAUUUGGGUCCCCUACAACCAUCAAACCUGUUUUGUGACAUUUAUUUUCAUUUGAAAAAUAAACGUACUCUUUUCCAUCUACUUGACACUUUGAGUUUUGCUGUUUUAUGAAAUUCCAGUAAAAUACAUCAAAGUUUGUGUUGUAUUGUAUUCUUGAGUUUGCAUUUUCAGUAGAUGUAAUGUGACAAAACCUUUACAUAUAAAC